rnacentral:rRNA from 1 species
AGAGUUUGAUCAUGGCUCAGAGUGAACGCUGGCGGCGUGCUUAACACAUGCAAGUCGAACGAGAACGGCUCUAGCUUGCUAGAGUGUCAGCUAAGUGGCGCACGGGUGAGUAAUAUAUAGUUAACCUGCCUCAAAGAAAAGAAUAAUUGUUGGAAACGACUUGUAAUGCUCUAUAUGCCUUUAUUACAUAAGUAAGCAAGGGAAACAUUUAUGGCUUUGAGAUGGGACUGUACGGUAUCAGAUAGUUGGUGAGGUAAUGGCUCACCAAGUCAAUGACGCCUAACUGGUUUGAGAGGAUGAUCAGUCACACUGGAACUGAGACACGGUCCAGACUCCUACGGGAGGCAGCAGUGGGGAAUAUUGCACAAUGGAGGAAACUCUGAUGCAGCAACGCCGCGUGGAGGAUGACACAUUUCGGUGCGUAAACUCCUUUUAUAUGAGAAGAUAAUGACGGUAUCAUAUGAAUAAGCACCGGCUAACUUCGU